UCCGGGUUGAAAACUCCGGUGGUUAUAGAUGGACAUGCGUUGUAUUAGCUAGUUGGUGAGGUAACGGCUCACCAAGGCAACGAUACAUAGGGGGACUGAGAGGUUAACCCCCCACACUGGUACUGAGACACGGACCAGACUCCUACGGGAGGCAGCAGUGAGGAAUAUUGGUCAAUGGACGCAAGUCUGAACCAGCCAUGCCGCGUGCAGGAAGACGGCUCUAUGAGUUGUAAACUGCUUUUGUACGAGGGUAAACUCACCUACGUGUAGGUGACUGAAAGUAUCGUACGAAUAAGGAUCGGCUAACUCCGUGCCAGCAGCCGCGGUAAUACGGAGGAUUCAAGCGUUAUCCGGAUUUAUUGGGUUUAAAGGGUGCGUAGGCGGUUUGAUAAGUUAGAGGUGAAUCCCGGGGCUUAACUCCGGACUGCCUCUAAUACUGUUAGACUAGAGAGUAGUUGCGGUAGGCGGAAUGUAUGGUGUAGCGGUGAAA
rnacentral:rRNA from 1 species